UAAGUUUUCUGUUAUCUCAGUCAUCUGUUAAAUUAUUGAACCCCUGAAUGCCUGGAUGCAGUGUGAACCCUUUCUCUUAUUGCUUGAAUUUCUUGGUGAUUUAUCAUAUUUCAUACUAUUAUGAAUCUGAAGAAUUAGAGCUUAUUAGAUCAAUGUUCACUUUUAUUGUUGGAGACAUCAGCAGUUCCUGAAACUAUUGAUCUUCUCUUUCCUUCUCGAUUAUGUGUGUGUGCACCUGUACAUGCUUUUAGUGCAUGUUUAGCAAGCAGUAUUACAAUUUCAUGAUAUGAAUUUGCCAUUUUGUUAAUAAAGCAAAUACGACUUCUCUUGGUAUGUACUAAAAGAUUCACUUAAAAGUCUAUUUUCACCUUAUAAUUUCACGUUGUCAGCCAAAUCAUCUUACUUUCCGAACACAACCAUUCCAUUCUGUAAUAUAAUUUAACAUGCGGGUAUUAAUAUAAUUUAACAUGCGGGUAUUAACUGAUAGGAUCCUCGUACGGAAAACAAUCCCUACCUGGGAUUUAUCUACACUUCAUUCCAGGAGAGGGCAACCUUCAUUUCUCAUGGAAACACGGCUAGGCUUGCCAAGGAACACGGGGACCUGAAAUUGGCUCAGAUAUGCGGUAUCAUUGCUGCAGAUGAGAAGCGCCAUGAAACUGCGUAUACCAAAAUUGUUGAAAAGCUAUUCGAGAUUGACCCUGAUGGCACUGUGUUGGCACUUGCCGACAUGAUGAGGAAGAAAGUCUCUAUG
rnacentral:lncRNA from 1 species